GUGGCCAUGCCACUCUAAUUACAUAGCCAUGUCCACCUUUUUUUCAUAAUCCUUGGUGUUCUCUGACCUGGUAUGCAACAUUAUUUUAGCUGAAAAGUUAUUUGAUGGUGUAUUUCAAAGCAUUUUAUUGCGCCCAAAAACACCUCUCAGGAGAACUAAGCGGUUUGUCCAUAAUGUUUAUGAGCUUUGCACUGAUUGGCUCAGCUGUUGCUAGAGAACCACGUCAUUGUAGAGAACAUGUUCUACCGAGGACUCGCAGGCUGCUCUCAGCCUUUGAGAUAAAAGAAAAGAAAAAUAAGCGUUGCUAAAUGUUAAAAUGAUUGUGCUGAGUAGCGUUACUCCACACUUGCGCAGAUUUAAAAUGUACAAAACCUUAUUGCAUUCUGCGCCACUAGAUGGCAUAUUUGGGGCAUACAGAUCCUGGGAGGAGGAGAAGAAGAAGUGCAUGUUGUUGCUGCUAGCCACGUACUCACUCUGCCUGCGGUGGAUUGUUUUAUUCCGUGGCAAUUUAAAACUACAUCAGUAAAUGUAUUAACUUUACACCGAGCCUCUUCAUUGCCUACUACAAAGCAACUUUAUGCACCAGUUCGUCACUGAUGGCUCAUCAACGCGGCGGCAUCCUCGUCAUGGGACAACGGGUAAGAUGCUAACCUACAACACCACUCAAUGUUGUAUUUUUUUUUGCUUCAGGCAGGCCUUCAUAUUUUUAUUUUUCUUCUCGGACGUAUUGUGUAGGUUAACUUGGUUUCACUCGUUACGUUUGAUCCAAGUGGAUUUCAUUGUUGUUUCAGACACAACGUUUGCACAAUGCGUCAAGAAGUAAGCUUAUUUCAAUGUUGUUGUAUUGUGUUCAAAAGGUGUUGAAUUGUUAGACAUGUAGAAACACAUUUAGGACAGACUACCGCUGUGAAAGACUAUCUUGGGCCGUAACAACUGGCGACUGCAGAUGUUAGAAAAGCAGUGGAGAUUGGACGUAAGUGUCACUCUUAAUCUGGGGUGUAUUCAUUUAGACCAGGACUGAGACUUUCGUUUUGAUCAAUCACUGGGUUUAUCACCUGGAGUCGCCAGUUGAUACGGGGGACUCAGUCUGUUACACCGGUUAUAGGCCUACACUUUGAUUAGUUUAUGCAUACAUUUAAAACCUGGAAUAUAUCCCCCCCUCAAAAGAAAGAAAAGCACAGCCAGAACUCUAAAUUAACAUUGCAAUCAGCCAAAUGCUGGUGAAAACUCAGGUUGGCUGGUACUAAAUAAAACUUAGUAGCCACUUUGACCCAUUGGUGAAUAUGCCUGGCUAGGCUAGUGAGAUGAAACAUCUAUUAGCCAUUUUGGCUGGUGAUGAAAAAGGUUCAUUUGAAGUCUUGAGCACCGCAUACCUGUUAUCAGUGUAUCUCAUCAUUAUGCUGUAUCCUCAUUCUGAAGCAUCUAUUACUGAACUGCACACAUUUACACUUUAUGCAUAUCUAGGGGUACAUGCAUAUAUUUUUUUAAUCUUUCCAUUUAUGUUAUACCUCCAGUGUAGGCCUAUAAUGUAAUAGGAUGUAUAUAUUUAUACAUGGAUGUAUAUAAUUUUGUCAUUGCAGGUUCAUCAGAGUCAGGUGGUCAGCACCCAAACUAAAACCAUGGGUCAUGGUGAAGAAGGAUGAGAGACUGUUCUAUGUGCCCAGGAUUCGUCAGGAUGGUGUCCAAGAAUUACAUCCUAGCAGCACAGAACAGGACGCCAUCAUGAAGAAGUUGCCUGUGGGGCUUCGCUUGGGCUUUGCCAGCGCCUCACUAUCAGUGCUGCUGGUCUCCUUAUCCACCGUGCCUACCCCCACAUUCCUCCCUUGAUGCAUUCAUCUCCUGACCUGUACCUGCUGUGGUAGUAGUCAGUGAUGACACACAGUAGUUGUGAUAAUAACAUACAUGUAUAUGAAAUAACUGAAAUGAUGUCCGUCCAGGCAUUUCCUUUGGUAUUUUAUUAUCCAGUAUAUGUAUGUAUCCAGUUACAUGGGUAUUUUGGUGCCUGGAUUAUACGGCAUGUAAGUAAUAAUAUGAACUCAGGUCAGGAUACCACAGUAGUUCAGACAACCAUUCAUUAAUAUAAAAUGCACAUGUGUUAUAUGUCCAUCCCAGGAUAGACGUCCCCUCGUAUCACCUUCGUAACCCUAAAAUGCAUGUGUACUUUGUGUCUAAAAAUAAAGUCUAUGAACAACUGAA